UGGGGAAUAUUGCACAAUGGAGGGAACUCUGAUGCAGCGACGCCGCGUGAACGAAGAAGGCUUUCGAGUCGUAAAGUUCUUUUAUAUGGGAAGAUAAUGACGGUACCAUAAGAAGAAGCCCCGGCUAACUACGUGCAAGCAGCCGCGGUAAUACGUAGGGGGCUAGCGUUUUCCGGAAUCACUGGGCGUAAAGGGUUGGCAGGCGGAAAUGCAAGUCAGGUGUAAAAGGCAGUAGCUUAACUACUGUAAGCAUUUGAAACUGCAUAUCUUGAGAAGAGUAGAGGUAAGUGGAAUUUUUAGUGUAGCGGUGAAAUGCGUAGAUAUUAAAAAGAAUACCGGUGGCGAAGGCGACUUACUGGGCUCAUUCUGACGCUGAGGAACGAAAGCGUGGGUAGCAAACAGG
rnacentral:rRNA from 1 species